AGCUCCAAUAGCGUAUAUUAAAGUUGUUGCAGUUAAAAAGCUCGUAGUUGGACUUCUGGUUAGGAAAACCUGUCUUCUCUCGCGAGAGAGUUGAAGUGUGUGUUGGUCUUAGCCAUCUUUGAGAGGACUAUUAUUGUCGUUAACUCGGUAGUAGUAGGAAUCUCAUCUUUUACUGUGAGCAAAUUAGAGUGUUCAAAGCAGGCGAUAGCCGUUGGAUACAUUAGCAUGGAAUAAUAAGAUAUGACCUUGGCGGUCUAUUUUGUUGGUUUGCACGCCUAGGUAAUGAUUAAUAGGGACAGUCGGGGGUAUUCGUAUUCAAUUGUCAGAGGUGAAAUUCUUGGAUUUAGGGAAGACGAACAACUGCGAAAGCAUUUAUCAAGGAUGUUUUCA
rnacentral:rRNA from 1 species